AAUUUAAAAUUGGUCCAACUAACCAAGCAUUAAAUAAGCCAAGAGAAUAGAAAGUCACUAACUUCUCUCCUUAUUACCUCUCUGUCUCUCUCUAUAUUGACAGCUACCCUUUCUAUACCAUUACCACGAAUCACCACCACCACCUAGCUGGCUAGUCCCAAUCAAACUUUCCACUAGAAAGGAUAUCUGAAAUCAAUAUAAAAAAUAAAAAAUAAAGAGAGAGAGAGAGA
rnacentral:misc_RNA from 1 species